GGUUGUGUUUUGUUACCACCAUCUUUAGUUAACACAAAGUAGAUUGAAUACUGAAACGAUGUAAACAGAAAUUCUUCAUCCCUCUGAUCACGUCGAAAGAUCCUGGUUGGAAGCAUAAAUGACAUCGUGGUAGAGAUUUUUGAACCACAACUCAUCGAAAGGCUGCUACUGCCGCGGCUGUGGCAAUAGUCCUAGUGGUUCUCCAGUCCCAUCGCAAGCCGGGAGCCUGGCGACUAAGCCAGUAUCGUAGGAUUCCAUGCGCUUCCAUGUCAGUACGUCGAAGGGAUCAUUGCCAUGAUUACCUGCAGAGAAUUCUCGUCUUAAUCUUGGAAAAGCUCGUAUUGUCGUCUCCUAUUACUCUUAACUGUUCAAUAUUUGGUUAGCCUCCAACCAGCUGGCCAUGUAAUCCAUUAUCUUUGAAUGCGUAUCUGGAAAGUGUCUGGUUGUAAUCGAAAAGGAACUGCAGACUCGCCCAGAAGGAUGCAGGAACUACGUGAGAAGUCGCGAGGAUCCCGGUGGCCGCGAAGAAGCCUGGCAAAUGUUGAGCCUUUAUUGCCUGUGAAAUUAGUAUUUAUGAGUGGAGCGGAAGUCGAAUAGGCGUCCUGGGAGGCCGGGAGACGGUGGCCCGGAUAUUAGACAUGAUUAAGGCACCUGAAACAUUUGCAAUAAAAUUGAAUUAUGACUUUUAAUAUUGGCAAAACAAACAAAAAAAUGAAAGAGGAAAAUAUAGAGAAGGAAAAAGGAAACAUGAUAAAAUAAAACAGCCACCACCAAUCGCUGGAAAUUCGCAGAAAUUGUAUGAAAGUGAGUUGGGGGAGUGAGGUCUGUGCCAUCUCAAAAAGGGGCUUGUUGCCAAUUACAAUUUACUUUAAUGGCCAAGGCUAAUGUCUCGAAAGCCGGGGGG